GACGAACGCUGGCGGCGUGCCUAACACAUGCAAGUCGAGCGAGGUCCAUCCGGUGGCAACACUGGUGAAGACCUAGCGGCGAACGGGUGAGUAACACGUGAGAAACCUGCCCCGAAGACCGGGAUAACCCUCCGAAAGGAGAGCUAAUACCGGAUGCCCUCACCGGGCCGCAUGACCUGGUGAGGAAAUGGAUUCCGCUUCGGGAGGGUCUCGCGGCCUAUCAGCUUGUUGGUGAGGUAAUGGCUCACCAAGGCUUCGACGGGUAGCUGGUCUGAGAGGAUGAUCAGCCACACGGGGCCGGGGACACGGCCCAGACUCCUGCGGGAGGCAGCAGUGGGGAAACGUGCGCAAUGGGCGAAAGCCUGACGCAGCAACGCCGCGUGGGGGAUGAAGGCUCUCGGGUUGUAAACCCCUUUCAGCAGGGAAGAUUAUGACGGUACCUGCAGAAGAAGCCCCGCCAACUACGUGCCAGCAGCCGCCGUAA
rnacentral:rRNA from 1 species